CCGAAAGCAAAGUCACGCUGUAGGAGCGAAAAUUUUGUUAAUUUCGCGAAAAUUGUUAAAAAAGUGUCGCAAACAACUGGAAAAUUGCAUAAAACAAUGAAUAAUAGUAAUUGGAACUGAAAGCAAUAGGAAAAUCACAUUGCAAAGGCGUUUAGCCCCGAAAAACACACAUUCAAGGGAACAAGAGGCACAACAUGGCGCCGACACCCCUGCCGCUGGAGCAAAUGGCCGGCGUUGGUGGCUACCUGCCAGCUGGCCAGGAAGGCGGACCGCGCAUCAAUACCAUGUCCAUGUCGGUGCUGAUCGAUUUCAUCAUCCAACGCACAUACCACGAAUUGACGGUGCUGGCCGAACUGCUUCCAAGAAAAACUGAUAUGGAGCGCAAGAUUGAAAUCUAUAACUAUGCAGCUCGCACACGGCACUUGUUCACUCGCCUCAAUGCGCUGGUCAAGUGGGGUAAUUCGGUGUCCAAAGUCGAUAAAUCGUCGCAGAUCAUGAGCUUCCUGGACAAACAGAACAUGCUGUUCGUGGAGACGGCCGACAUGUUGGCCCGCAUGUCACGGGAGACGCUGGUGCGCGCCCGCUUGCCCAACUUUCACAUUCCCGCUGCCGUUGAAGUGCUCACCACUGGCACCUACAACCGCCUGCCGACCUGCAUACGCGAGAGGAUUGUGCCCGCGGAUGCCAUCACGCCGGCAGAGAAGAAGCAGACGCUGUUGCGCCUCAACCAGGUGAUUCAGCAUCGCCUGGUCACGGGAAAACUUUUGCCGCAGAUGCGUGAAUUCCGCAUCAAGAAUGGACGCGUCACUUUCGAGGUGAAGCACGAGUUCAGUGUCGCCCUGACGGUUAUGGGAGACAGCCAGAGUGUUCCCUGGCGUCUGUUGGACAUUGAUGUACUCGUGGAAGACAAGGAGACGGGAGAUGGUAAAUCCCUUGUGCAUCCUCUGCAAGUGAACUACAUCCAUCAGCUGAUCCAAGCGCGUCUGGUGGAUAAUCCCAAUGCCCUGAGCGAGGUCUACAACUGUCUGCACUACUUCUGCCAGUCGCUGCAGCUGGAGGUGCUCUACACCCAGACUCUCCGCCUCAACUACGAGCGGCUGGACGACAACAACAUCACCGUGGAGGAGUAUGUGCCAGGUGUCAAGCUAACCGUCUCCUACUGGCGGGACCUCAAAUCGGAGCUGGGCUAUCGUCUCACCGUUCAGUCGGAUCCCAGUGAGAUUGGCCGUCCGCUGGCCGUGGUUCAUGUACCCUCGCUGGGCGCCAAGGAGUCGGCGGAGGUGGCCGAUCGCGCUGUCCGCUCCGAGCAUCUCUCGAUGGAGCGGCUGAUUGUGCACACGGUGUACAUACGAUCAGUGUCCAGGCUGAGCGACCUGAAGCUGGAGUUCCAGGCGUUUCUCAAGGAUGUUGACUUUAACCUUCAGGGCACUCCAGCGAUUCUCACGGUGCCUGUGCUCUCGCCAUGCCUGCGCGCGGAGCAAAUCCACAUUACCAUCGACACGCACACGGGCAUGUUCCGCUGCCAUGUGCCCAAGCACUUGGACUGUCCCAUCACGGAGGAGAUGCAGGAAGCCCUGAACACAGAUCGCAGUAAGCUGCCGUCACUGCUCUCGGAGUUGCGCUAUUGGAUCACUCAUCGUAGGUGCGAGAAGACACUGCAGCAUCUGCCGGCCACGGCAGUCGACACGCUGACCUUCCUCACGUUGCCCGAGCAGGAGCUGUUGCAGCAGGGUCGCCACAAGAUAUACGUGAAGCUGCACAGGCAUCCCAAUAUAAUUCUGGUGGUUCAGUUAAAGGAGAAGCCAACGAUGGCAAACGAAAUGGAAUACACAUUCCACUUGGGCUUUGUGGCUUUCCAGAAGGAUGAGGCUGACGUUAUAGACGAUUCUGCCAAGCAAUUGGUGUCUGUGGUGGCACAGCCACCAUCGGAUAUCCCCAAAUUCUUCACUAAACUGAUGCGACUCAUCGAGUUUGACACAUUUGUGGCCACCCAUGGACCCGGCACGGAGGUGGAUGCGGAGGUUUCUCCACACAAACGCAAAUCUACUGGCGAUAUUCUAGCGCCCCCAGCCAAGCAGCAAAAAACAAUAUUCCCCGCGUACUUCAUUCCCGAACUGGCCCACGUUGUGGCCAUGUGCGAUGAGAAGAUUCCGUUUAUGAAUCUGGCCCAGACCCUAUCCAAGCACAAUAUUCCGCAUAGCGGCCUACAGGUGGAGGCGAAUGCCACAUCCUUGGUGCUGAAGAUUUUGGCACUGCCACAGCCAGGCAAAUCGGCCACAACAUCGGGCCAACAGGCACAGCAAGGAGCUGCCAAUGCUGCUACUACUGCAGCGGGCGAGUCCAAGCCACAGCCGUUGAGCGGCUCCUCGGCUUUCCCCAAGAUCGAGCCACAUGUCUGGGACGAUCUGAUGCGGCGUGUGCUCUCGAUAUCGGUGCGCUCGCAGACGAACAAGAACAGCCAAGUGAGAAUUUGGGUGGUGGAGUUUGUCUUCUACAGCACACCGCUGCAGAGCUGCCAUCCCAAGGAGCAGGGCAGCCGGCGCACCGUUUACUUAACCUACGAGCAGGCCAAUCAUGACUUCUCCAAAACAGUUGAGGAACUGCUGAACGACUGGUCCAAGAUUGUGUACCUCUACACGCUGGUCCAUGACUUUGCGGAGCAGCUGAAAAAUAAACGCCUUCCUCUCUGUGACAUGCUGGUGGUGAAGUCCUACAGCUACAUGAAUCUACUGCUGGGUUAUGGCCCCAAGAAGGAGGUUAGCUGCAAUAUCUACUGGUCUGUGCAGUCGCACGGCUUCCGUUUGACCUUCGUGGGUGGCAUGUCGGCGGUGAAUGCUCACUCAAUGAUGCGGGACCAGCUUGCACAGCACUUAAACCAGCACCACAGCCUAACACAGAUUGCACAAAUCCUGCACGAGACAUACUAUCCCAUGAGCUCCAUUGCCAAGCUGCCAGUGCUGCCUUUCCUGGGGAUUCCUCGCCCACAGGUGCCUGUGCUCUCGUUCUGCAUGCUGGCACAGUCGCCCUGUCUCAUGCGUCUGACCUACCAGGCGGUGUACUGCUUGGAGCUGCGCUUCCGUGCCAAUCGUCUGCUGUCCAUUCGGGAUGGAGCCAGCAGCCGCUUCGAGCGGAACAUCAUAGAAGAGUUCACGCCCAUACAGGGACUCAAAGCGUUCCUGUCCAAGUACGUGGAUGAAUCGGCAGCGUAUCGUGGACGGGCGCCACACGAGGACGACAAUCCGCUGUCGCCCAUGGGCAUGGAGGAUAACUAUGGCGGUCCCAGCAGUGUGACGGGUGUGAGUGCGGGCGGCUCGUCGCCAUUCCUGGGCGCUGGCAUGCGUGGCCCACAAUCGCCGAGAGACAGUGGAUUGCGCUUCCCUGCGCCGCACACUCCGCCAUCUAGCUCCAAUCCGCACACACCCGCCAGCCCACAUCCGAGUGCGGGCGGAGGAGGCGCAGCGCAGAGUCAUGGAAACUUUAACUUGACCUCGCCGCCGGCUCCGCAUAUGCCGCAUCCCUCGCCGGGCGGACUGAUGCCUUCGUCGCCACUGAAUCCGCAGCCAAGUCCCCACAUGGUGCACAGUCCAGGGCCCAAUACGAUGUACAUGCAGAGCCACCAGGACUCGCCCUUCACAGCCAUGUCGCCGGCGAACAACCAAUGGCCCGGAUCUCCAAGCAUGCCACGUCCUUCGCCCAGGCCUGGACAGAGUCCGGAGCACAAGAGCACGGGAGGUGGCAGCGUAGGGGCAGGUGGGCAAGAUCGUGGAGGAGCCAGGGGUACACUCAAUCGACCCUGGGCUGGUGCCACGCCCACUCUGCUCACCCACGAAGCCUUGGAGACCCUCUGUCGGCCCAGUCCGCACCCGAACAAGGAUAUCAAUGUGACGGACAUGAGCCCGCUGGAGCGCUUCCUCGGCUGCGUCUACAUGCGCCGCCAGCUGCAUCGUAACAUCCAGAGCGAGGAGUCGCUCACGGCGCUCAACUCCACGGAGCCGGGAGUAGUGCUGUUCAAGGUGGACGGUCUGCAGUGCCAGGUGAUGCUCAACCAGAUGCACAUGCAGACGCUACACCUGAAGAUCACCCAACUGCCUCCGCCGCCCGACAAGCCCACAUUCCAGCUGAGUCCCGACGAUCUCCUGGUGAUCGAGCAAUACUUCGACACCCGAGUGGCAGCGCCGCCCUAUCGCCCGAACUCCCUGCACAGCAUCUGCCGGCUGCUGAACCUGCCCGCCCAAGUGCUCAAGGAUUUCGUGCAGAUCAUGCGACUGGAGCUGAAGCCAGAGUUUGGCGGGGAUCAGCUCAAGUGGACGGUGCAGAUGUGCAUGCGAAUGCCGCCGUCGGCGGUGCCCAUUGUGCCCAGCGGCAAUGCCUGCGUGGUGCUGGGCAGGAUGAAGAUACUGUUCUUCCUGCAGAUCACCAAGAUCCCGUACAACGGCAAGGACUGGAAGGACAGCCCCUCGCUGGUGCUGCCCAUCGUCUACGACAUUACAACGAACCUCACCCAAAUGGCCGAGCGCAGAGAGCAGGUGCCCUCGCCCAUGAUGACUGCAGCCAGCACACUCCUGCGCCGCUUUGCCGAGUUCAAUUCGCAGCAGAAUCAGUGCUCGCUGUUCCCGGCCAUCACGGAUCUGCUAACGAAUCUGCAGCUGGCCACGGACAUGCCACAGCCCCCGCCCAAUCAGGCCAUUGGACCACCUGUCGGUGUCGGCGUCGGUGUGGGAGUUGGCGUCGGUGUUGUUGGCUCCAGCCCGAAUCCCAUGAUGCCAAUGCAGCAGCUACAGCCCCAAGUGGGACCACAAGGACAGGUUGGCCCUGGCGGCUACCCACAGCUUGGCCCAAAUCCCGGCGGUCCGCAGUGAUGAAGGCGCAAGCGCCGUGCCUCCUCACUAAUGCCGUGAGCAGGCACCAGAAACGGCGACCAACCCGAACUCGAAACCGAACUGCUGCACAUCUUAUUUAUUCGACAAAGAAAAACAUAUUCUAUAAGCAGAGAAGAGCACUCAAGCUGUGCAGUUUAUUGUGCACUUCCCCCAGGCAAAACCGCACACCGUACACCAUUUACUCUUUAAUCUAUAAUUCGAUAUUAAUAUUUGUAAAGUGGCACGAGAAAACCUGUUUAUACGCAUCGCAAAAUAAUAUUUAUUUCCUGUGAUCGCUCCCGGGAAGAUCCACAUAUGCAGACUCCUGGCAGCGAACGGAAAUGUUGAUACUGAUCAAGAAAUACAAUUCCCCACAGAAUAAAUUCACAUUGAUGUUGUGGUAACAGUUUAUUGUGCCAAGAUGACCCAUCCAUUUGUAGUAAACAAUACAAAGUGCGGCUAGGUACGAGUAUGUAAACAAAAUACUAACUAAAUGUAUGUAAGUGUAAGUGUGAGUGUAAGUCGUACUUCUGUUUCUUCGUUGCUAAUGAUUGUAUCACAUGAUUCUUUACAGCUUUGCCCAACUGCCAGAGAGGUGAGAGGUAGCUGGGAGGCAGGAGGAGUUCUCCAGCAAGUGAUUCGUGACUUUGAUGCACCCGAGGUUAGUUAUUGUUGUAAUUAUAUAUUUUAUAUGGUAAAUAUCUAACUGAUCCCUUUUCUAUUUGGCUUUGUUGCUGGUCUUGGCUGUCCCAACUACUGCUACUGCUGUGCCGCAAGCUGUGUGUUGUCCAUUUGGUUGGUCAGCUCCGUGAUGCCCUCUUCCUCGUCGGAGACCAGAUCAACCCAGUAGCGUAGCUUCUUGCCGCGCAGAUAGCUGGCGGAGUUGUCAAAGACAACAGUGUCUGGAAGGAAAGGAGCAAACUUGGUUA